GUGCUCGCUCCAGCAACACAUAUACUAAAACUGGACCGAUGCAGAGAAGAUUAGCAUGGCCCCUGCGCAAAACUAUGCUCUUAUAUUAUUAAUUCAACAUUUGUUU
rnacentral:snRNA from 1 species